CAAACUGGUGAAGCUCUGAGGUUGCCCUUUAAAGAGCAGCCUUCAGACUACCAAGCAGAGUAAUUCCUCAGAAUUGUCCCACGUUGUCCUAGAGAAGUCGUCUUUAUAGGCAUGGAGUAGGGUGUCUGCAGGCCUCCAGUCAAUUCCAACCGAUUUCAACUGCCAAAGUUAAAAGUUGCCAUUGCAGUUACUGUCGGACCAAAGUAACCCCUGAGAACUCUCCACAUUUGUAAAACGGACUGAAAGGUUCAGUGGCGUUUCCCACCUGGAACAGGACUAGUAAUGCUUUGAACGUGAAGAGAUGACUGUCCCCUGUGAGGAACUGUCGUGGGAAUGAGGCGAUAGGACUGGUUGAAGGAAAUGCUAAGAAGCUCUCUCCUUUGUGGACUGAGGGACCAGCUUCAACACCAGAGGGGUGCAAUCCCAGCAGAAAAGGAACACUGUCUCUAAUGUUGCAACAAAGUAACCAGCAUGAAGUUAGCAAGAAGAAAUCACGGUUGCAGCUGCUGAACACUGAUCCCUACCUGCUUUAAACUUAGAUCCAGAACGGAGCCGGCACAGUGACUUACGUCACUCCCACUGGCUUAAGAGAACAGAGAAUGACAUAUAGACAAGAUGCUACCUCCCAUGGAAAGGCCCCUAUACAUAAAGUCACUUUAUUUCUCUGUCACUUCCCUG
rnacentral:lncRNA from 1 species